rnacentral:rRNA from 1 species
AUUGAACGCUGCCGGCAGGCCUAACACAUGCAAGUCGAGCGGAGCGGCGGACGUGUGAGUAAUGCCUAGGAAUCUGCCUGGUAGUGGGGGAUAACGUCCGGAAACGGGCGCUAAUACCGCAUAAUAUCAGAUGAGCCUAGGCCGGAUUAGAUAGUUGGUGGGGGAAAGGCCUACCAAGGCGACGAUCCGGAACUGGUCUGAGAGGAUGAUCAGUCACGCUGGAACUGGGACACGGUCCAGACGCCGACUGUAGGCAGCAGUGGGGAAUAUUGGACAAUGGGCGAAAGCAUGAUCCAGCCUUUCAGCGUGUGUGAAGAAGGUCUUCGGAUUGUAGAGCACUUUAAGUUGGGAGGCGUUACCAACAGAAUAAGCACCGGAUAAUUUCGUGCGAGCAGCCGCGGUAAUAC